rnacentral:lncRNA from 1 species
UUUUUCGAUCCUCCAUACCUGAACUUGAUUCUGUUGAAUCCUUAUUUUUCUUUAUAUACUGUCUGACUUAGAUGAUAGUCCACCAUCCCUCACCUCUGCCCUCACCUCAAACUCUCAAUCGCUAUCUUUUUUCUCCACCAAAAGCGUCAAUGUCAGAUUGGAUGAGAAAAAUUACCUCCUUUGGAAACAACAGAUCCUAUUUACUAUUCAAGGUCAUAGUCUGGAACAUUUUCUUGACAGUUCCACCACCCCACCCUCAAAAUUUUC